GAUGGAUAAUGCAUUUUUGUGGUUUAUAUUACUAGUAUCACAAUUCGGUUGUGAAGCUAGUAAUAUAAUACGUAAUUCGGUUUAUAUUACUAGUAUGGAAUUUUGUUCAAUUCCAUAUCUAGGUUAAUAUUAUUAAACCAAAUUAACAAAAAGGUGCAUCAUCCAUCAUGUAACGUGGAGAAAAGGUUUACUUAUAGAACCUAGUACGUAGAGAUUACGAUACUAUUAUAUAUCAAUAUAAGUGUAUUGAUUUAUCAACUAAACUAAUCACCUUUAACUUUAAUCUCUCGAAGAUAAUGAAGCCGUAGUAAUCUUCUUCUUUUUCUCUCCAUUUCUUGUUUCUUUCUUUUAAAUUUCAAUUUCAUCCUCUACCUGUCCUUUUCUCAAAUAUACCCCCCGAGAAUCUUUCACUUUCCUAAUUUACCCUCAAAAGAUUCAUCAUUUACCACUUCAAUCAUCCAUCUCUUGAGAGCUUAUUUCUUCUUUGAAUCUUUCACCACAUUUAAACCUCAAAUUCAUUUUUAGGAACCUAAACCCAAAGAUUCACACAACUUCUAUAUAUGUCCCCAAGAAUCUUUUUUUUUUAGUUUUCCAAUAUGCUCUGAAUCCUUCACAUCAUUAUGUUAGCUUAAACCUUAAUAAUCGAUUUAAGGAAUCACAUUUCACAAAUUUGGUUCCAAAUCCUCCUC
rnacentral:lncRNA from 1 species